rnacentral:rRNA from 1 species
GAUGAACGCUGGCGGCGUGCUUAACACAUGCAAGUCGAACGAACCUUCGGGUUAGUGGCGGACGGGUGAGUAACGCGUGGGAAUCUGCCCUCAGGAGGGGGAUAACGGCUGGAACCGGCCGCUAAUACCCCAUAUGCCGAGAGGUGAAAUGAAUUUCGCCUGAGGAUGAGCCCGCGUCUGAUUAGCUAGUUGGUGAGGUAAGAGCUCACCAAGGCAUCGAUCAGUAGCUGGUCUGAGAGGAUGAUCAGCCACACUGGACUGAGACACGGCCCAGACUCCUACGGGAGGCAGCAGUGGGGAAUUUUCCGCAAUGGGCGAAAGCCUGACGGAGCAACGCCGCGUGAGGGAUGAAGGCCUCUGGGCUGUAAACCUCUUUCUUCAAGGAAGAAGAUCUGACGGUACUUGAGGAAUAAAGCCACGGCUAAUUCCGUGCCAGCCGCCGCCGU